rnacentral:rRNA from 1 species
GAUGAACGCUGGCGGCGUGCCUAAUACAUGCAAGUCGAGCGAACAGAUAAGGAGCUUGCUCCUUUGACGGUAUCGGCGGACGGGUGAGUAACACGUGGGUAACCUACCUAUGAGACUGGGAUAACUUCGGGAAACCGGAGCUAAGACCGGAUAACAUUUGGAACCGCAUGGUUCUCAAGUGAAAGAUGGUUUUUCUAUCACUUAUAGAUGGACCCGCGCCGUAUUAGCUAGUUGGUAAGGUAACGGCUUACCAAGGCAACGAUACGUAGCCGACCUGAGAGGGUGAUCGGACACCCUGUAACUGAGACACGGUCCAGACUCCUACGGGGGGCAGCGGUAGGGACUCUUACGCAAUGGGCGAAUGCCUGACGGAGCAACGCCGCGUGAGUGAUGAAGGGUUUCGGCUCGUAAAACUCUGUUAUUAGGGAAGAACAAAUGUGUAAGUAACUGUGCACGUCUUGACGGUACCUACACAGAAAGCCACGGCUAACUACGUG